UGCCAGCCGCCGCGGUAAUACGGAGGGGGUUAGCGUUGUUCGGAAUUACUGGGCGUAAAGCGCGCGUAGGCGGACUGGAAAGUAUGGGGUGAAAUCCCGGGGCUCAACCCCGGAACUGCCUCAUAAACUCCCAGUCUAGAGUUCGAGAGAGGUGAGUGGAACUCCGAGUGUAGAGGUGAAAUUCGUAGAUAUUCGGAAGAACACCAGUGGCGAAGGCGGCUCACUGGCUCGAUACUGACGCUGAGGCACGAAGGCGUGGGGAGCAAACAGGAUUAGAUA
rnacentral:rRNA from 1 species